CUCACUGGUCAAUGAAUGCAAA
rnacentral:miRNA from 1 species